UAUUUCUGCAAUAUCUAUUCUAUUGUUGACGUGAUGCCAGCCCCGUUCCCCACGCAGCGAGCGGCCGGCCGGCGGCGAUCCGCAGACGUAAUGCGACAUAAUGGCCUCCGCCCACUGCUGAGGCUGCACGCUGGGCGCUUCAGUGCCCCCCCCUGACCCCGUCCCAGAGGAGGAUGCCCGUGUGUUGGUGGAGUCCAGCAGCUCAGCGCAGCGCGACUGAAAGGAGCUUCGUCUUACUAUCACACUGUUCAAACUGAACCAGAAGUUCUAACUCAUCUGACUCAUCGAACUCAAAAGAAUACCGCGAAGACCUGGACGAAUCCAUUUGGGCCUUUUAGGCCUCUUGGGUGGCUGAAGUGCAUCUGGAUGCCGGGCUGCGUGGUGCUGAGCUCUGGGUCGGUACUCCGGGCCGAUACCAGCUGUGUGUGGGUUUAACCAAUGCACGUGCACACGGUGGCGCGCAGCACACAGCGGAGCCUUUAAUAACCGCACGUGUGGCUUUAGAGCGCUCAGCUUUGUGUGUCUGUAAACGUUUCGAGUUUAGAUCCAUCCAUCCAUCCAUUUUCAACCGCUUAUCUGGUCGCGGGGGCAACAGCUCCAGCAGGGGACCCCAAACUUCCCUUUCCCGGGCCACAUCUACCAGCUCUGACUGGGGGAUCCCAAGGCGUUCCCAGGCCAGUGCAGAGAUAUAAUCUCUCCACCUUGUCCUGGGUCUUCCCCGGGGCCUCUUCCCAGCUGGCCGUGCCUGAAACACCUCCCUAGGGAGGCGCCCAGGGGGCAUCCUCACCAGAUGCCCAAACCACCUCAACUGGCUCCUUUUGACGCAAAGGAGCAGCGGCUCUACUCCGAGCUCCUCGCGAAUGGCUGAGCUUCUCACCCUAUCCCUAAGGGAGACGCCAGCCUCUCUCCUAAGGAAACCCAUUUCGGCCGCUUGUACCCGUGACCUAGUUCUUUCGGUCAUGACCCAUCCAUGAACCGAGUUUAGAUGAAGGUCUAAAUAAACAAAUACAUAUUUUAUGAUUUUAAAAUGUCACUGUUGUACUGGUUUACUGUUUAUAAUUGACUUGAUAUGAUUACACAGUUUAAAUAGUACGUUGCACAGAGGUACAGAAGAAGAAGAAUUGCAUUCUUGCUGUGAAGAAAUGAAUGUAUUGAACUUGCUCUUCAGGAGGAAAGAACACAACAGUGAAGCUGAACAGCGGAACGUUGAUUGAUUUUUUUCUACUAAUGAGGCCAUUUUUCUGUUUGCAUAUUAAAAGCGCACAGAUGGUUUGUGUUUGCAGUGGGUUUCAUUGUGUGCCAGGGUUCAUCUUUGUGUUUGGCACUCAAGCUGUUGACUAGGAGCUCGGCAGAACGAGUCUUUGGGGUUUUAUCUGCAGGUAGAAGUUCGUCCUUCUGAUGGAUUUAUUCUUCCUUCCACCGGUGGAUUUCUGCUGCUGCUGCUUUUAAAGAGAAGAGAGAAUUACUUUGAUUGUGAGGCUAUUGUUCAUCUUUUAGAUGCAAAAUACGUUUUCAUUUAUUUCCAUGAAACAUGUUAAUCACACUAGUGGAGUCUGAGUUGUACACUGGUAACAUUCAAAUCUGUUGGUGUUUUCAAAAGGCGACAACGAUGCAAAUGCUGGCAAAUUAAACAGGAAUCUUCCAGAAAGCAACCAAGUGAUGGAGUCCCAACCUUCUCUUUAUUGGACAAACACUUUUAGAAUGAUACAAAUAUUCGUGGUCUUAUUUUCUCUCAUGUGGACUUGUGACUGUGUAGUGUAGUGCACGCAUGUGCUGGCAGCUUUGAUCUUCUCUUUUCAUUAUGAGAACGAGCAUUUUAAAAGAACACAGAUCACCAAAGGUGUUACAGGAGGGAAGAACCAAAAUGCAAAUGAAUGAAUAGAAAAUGAAGUUAGUUCUUCCUUGUAAAGUGUACUAAUGUAAAACUAAUGUAAAGUGUAGAUGGAUCGUUAGCACACAAUCUGACACUUGUUUAGCUGAUUUUGUUGCAACUUUACAUUGUGACUAAUUCUAAUGAGCUUUGUUGUCUGCAUCAUGGAGCCAACUAGUGGAAGCAUCCUUCUUAGUAGUGUUUGCACAUGGUGCGGUAGUCGUGUCAAUUUAGCUUUUGAUUUUAACAAAUUCAUUUCAUUUUGACGCAGCAAAGAAUUGGAACAUAUUGGAUUGUGGUAAUAAAAAUAAGCAGCAUGAGUAAUGUGUGCGCAUGCCUCAUGGCUAACCUGCCUCCAAAGACUGUCCGUCAGACUCCGACUACUUCAAGUCCAAUUU
ensembl:lncRNA